rnacentral:rRNA from 1 species
ACGGCGUAGUGUUGAUGGAAGAGCCCAAGAUUGAAAGCUGGCGUCUUCGGCGUCCGCAUUGUAAUCUCAAGAAGUGUUUUCCGCUUCGGACCAUGCCUAAGUCCCUUGGAAAAGGGCAUCAUAGAGGGUGAUAAUCCCGUACAUGGCAUGGAGCGCCCGAAGCUUUGUGAUACGCUUUCUAAGAGUCGAGUUGUUUGGGAAUGCAGCUCAAAAUGGGUGGUAAAUGCCAUCUAAGGCUAAAUAUUGGGGAGAGACCGAUAGCGAACAAGUACAGUGAUGGAAAGAUGAAAAGAACUUUGAAAAGAGAGUUAAACAGUACGUGAAAUUGCCAAAAGGGAAGGGUAGGAGGUCAGAGAUGCGGCCUGGGAUUCAGCCUUGCUUUUGCUUGGUGUUUUUCCCAGAUUGCAGGCCAACGUCGGUUUUGGGCACUGGAGAAGGGUAGGAGGAACGUGGCACCUCUCGGGGUGUGUUAUAGCCUCCUACUGGAUACAGCGACCGAGACCGAGGACAGCAGCGUACUCGCAAGAGCGGGCCUUCGGGCACCUUUACGCUUAGGGCGUUGGCAUAAUGGCCCUCUACCACCCGUCUUGAA